GGAGACGCGGGCAGCCAGCGAUGGCCGCGGAGGGGGCGAACUGGGUUCCGGCCCUCGGAGGCUGACGGAAGGCGGUGGCUGAGGAGCGGCGCCUCUGGUUGAGCGCUCGCCGUGUGUCCCGCACCUGUCUGUCCUGCCGCCGCCCGGUAAGAGUCUCACUCUGUUGCCAAGGCUGGAGUGCAGUGGCGGGAUCUCGGCUAACUGCAACCUCCCCAUCCCGGGUUCAAGCGAUUCUCCUGCCUCAGCCUCCCGAGUAGCUGCGAUUACAGACAUUUGCCACCAUGCCCGGCACAGCACAGCACCGCACAUCUCCAGUCGGACUGGCUACAUUUCAAGGGCUCAACCAUCACGCGUUACCAGUGGCUACUGCAUCAGACUGUGCAGUGCUAGAUGGGGAGUCAGAAGAGAAACCAAGUGAUUUCCAUGUCAAGUGGUGAACAGGCUAAGAAGAAAAGUAAAUUGGGGAAAGAGCAUGGGGAAUGUGGGGGUUGCUGUUUGAAAGAGGAUGGUUGGGAAGGCUGAAGAGCUGUCAUUCGCAGAGGGACCCAAAAGAGGUCCACUUACAGCUGGAUUUACUUCCACCUCUGCCACCUGUGAGACAGCGAGACCAACCCCUCCUCCUCCUCUUCCUAGCCUACUCCGAGUGAAGAUGAUGAAGAUGAAGACCGUUAUGAUCCACUUCCACUUAAUGAAAGAUGAAUAUAUUUUCUCUUCCUAAUGAUUUUUUUUUUUUUUUUUUUGGAGACAGAGUCUCGCUGCAUCCCCCAGGCUGGAGUACAGUGGUAUGAUCUUGGCUCACUGCAACCUCUGCCUCCUAGGUUCAAGUGAUUCUCCUGCCUCAGUCUCCCGAGUAGCUGGGAUUACAGGCGCCCACCACCAUGCCCGGCUAAUUUUUGUAUUUUUAGUAGAGAUGGGGUUUCACUAUGUUGGCCAGGCUGGUCUCAAACUCCUGACCUCAGGUGAUCUGCCUGACUUGGCCUCCCAAAGUGCUGGGAUUACAGGCAUGAGCCACCUUGCCUGGCCUCUUCCUAAUGAUUUUUUAAAGUACAUCUUGUUUUCUCUGUCUUACUUUAUCAUAAAAAUAUAUGAUACAAAUAAAAUACAGAAUAUGUGUUAA